ACAAUUUAUGACCUUAUUUUUACCUUACUAUUUAACGUAUUUAAAUUUCCUUUUAAGAUUGUUUUAAUGAAUAAUUUCUUCAGUUUCAGUUUAUCAAUUGGCCGGACAUAUACAUACGUACGUGUGAGUAAUUUGUUUUAAUGGAUUUCAUGACACCAAGAUUACAAUUUACGCCAAAUCGGCGUACUUUUAAUUCCUAUACUAUCCAUUUAUUUUAUUAAUUCUGUUAUGACUGAAUUGUUUUUCGUCAGAAAUGAAAUCCAAAUUAGCUAAUCGAAAUCAAAAAUCCUUCCAGCGAAUCUAAAUUCCGCUCUUCUCCAAAUUAAUAAAGAACGAUACAAAAUU